GCCGGGCAUGGUGGUGCACACCUGUAGUCCCAGCUACUCGGGAGGCUGAGGUGGGAGGAUUGCUUGAGUCCAGGAGUUCUGGGCUGCAGUGCGCUAUCCCAAUCGGGUGUCCAUACUAAGUUCGGCAUCAAUGUGGUGACCUCCCGGGAGCGGGGGACCACCAGGUUGCCUAAGGAGGGGUGAACCGGCCCAGGUCAGAAAUAUACAUGACAUGUAUACAUUGCCCUACAAAGGGGAUGUAGACCUGGAGCAGAAUUGACACAAUGAGAUUUGACUUGAGUUCUUCCUGGGUUUCAGCCUGU
rnacentral:sRNA from 1 species